AUAUUUUCUUUCAUCUAUUUAAGAAUAUUUAUUAUGUCAUAGUGUCCCAUGCUAGAGCAACCUGCGGCCCUGAACCAUUGCCUGGCCUCUGCCUGUAGGCUACUGGCACUGAAGUGGGCCGCACAGUA